rnacentral:tRNA from 1 species
UCCCUGGCAGUCCAGUGGUUAAGACUUUGAACUUCCAAUGCAAGGGUCACAGGUUCAAUCCCUGGUCGGGGAU